AUUUGCAACUCAAAAAUGCAGGCUCAACAGUACCAGCAGCAGCGUCGAAAUUUGCAGCUGUCUUCUUGGCAUUCAUUUUCAUACUGUCAGCUGUGGAUAAUGCCAAAGCAGGGAAGAAAGAGAAACCAGAAAAAAAAGUGAAGAAGUCUGACUGUGGAGAAUGGCAGUGGAGUGUGUGUGUGCCCACCAGUGGAGACUGUGGGCUGGGCAUGCAGGAGGGCACUCAGACUGGAGCCGAGUGCAAGCAAACCAUGAAGACCCAGAGAUGUCAGAUCCCCUGCAACUGGAAAAAGCAAUUUGGAGCGAAGUGCAAAUACCAGUUCCAGGCCUGGGGAGAGUGUGACCUGAACACGGCCCUAAAGACCAGAACUGGAAGUCUGAAGCGAGCCCUGCACAAUGCCGAAUGCUAGAAGAUGGUCACCAUCUCCAAGCCCUUUGGCAAACUGACCAAGCCCAAGCCUCAAGUGGCAUCUAAGAAGAAGAAAAUGGAAGGCAAGAAACAGGAGAAGAUGCUGGAUUAAAAGAUAUCACCUGUGGAAAAUAAAAAGGACAUCAGCAAACAGCAUCAGUUAACUAUUGCAUUUAUAUCUACCCUAGGCCUUUUAUUCAAAAAGUAUCUAUAGCUAAGUACACAAUAAGCAAGAACAAAAAGAAAAGAACAUUUUUGUAGUAGCAUUUUAAAAAUGUAUACUGUAGUAGCACUAGGGGCUUAUAAUAAAGGACUGUAAUCUUAUUUAGGAAGUUGACUUAUAGUACAUGAUAAAUGAUAGACAGCUGAGGUAAGUUUUUUGAAGUUAUGUGACAUUUUACAUUAAUUUUUUUUUUUUUUACAUUUUUUGGCAGCAAUUUAAAUGUUGUGACCAUGUAAACUACUUCUCCUGUUAGGUAUUUGUUUUUUCACCUAGACUUUUUUCCCAAUUGAGAAAAAUGUAUACUAAACAAAAUAGCAAUAAAACAUAAUCACUCUAUUGGAAGAAAAUGCCUUGUUUUCUGCCAAUAAAUUUUUU